GAAAGAAAUACUAAAGAGCUCUGACCGUCCACAGUUGGUUAACUUAGAACUUACUUGCCAGAUUUGGGUGAGGGGGUGGUUGGUUUCAGCAUCUACUUGUCUUUCUUUAAAGGUCAAUGACUUUUCCCACAGUUUAAAUUUGACCUAUCCGUUUAUGCCUCCAUGUUGAUUUGGAGGUCAGUUAUUUUAAUCUAAUCUACAACACCGUAAAACUUGGAGGCAGAGACUAUCCUCUUUAACAUUUAGCGUUUCCCUUUUCUAGAAAUUAUAUUGAUUUCCUUUUAUUUUGUACAGAAUUCCAUUUUAAAUUAAAAUAUAGUGGAUUUAAAUUUUGUGGCCCUAUGGAAAAGCCCACAGUCAGAUGCUCCAUCUAAGGGCAUGGGAAAGACAGCAGGGUGCAUCGGAUUUUGCCAGCCUGAUAGCCAGAUUCCUAGGUGAAUAAAAAAGAUGAUGAGGGAAAUGGUUGGCCUCUUUUGUUUUUGCUGGGUUUUUAGCAGUGAGCUUGCAGGGCUGAUGAGCAGUCAGUACUUGAGCAGGCGCUGGCACCACGACACCUGUGUGAAGAGUGUGCCUUCCGCUGCCUGGCUUUGCUCUUGGCUUUGUGAUCUGUGGAACCUGGUUAGGAAUGCCCUCUGUUGGGUGGCGUGGCUCCCUUUGGAUAUUAAUAGACAAUGUCAGUGCAUCUUGCCUGUUUGUUUUGCUCAGUACAGGCAGGGUGUGUUUCCCAUGUACACGUCACCGCACACACCUUUUGGUAGAAGGUUCUGUGGUGACUUCACUGUCCACACCGGUUGUCCUACUUUGUUGCUCGCUUUCAUUCUCUUAGAACAGCAGUUCUCAACUUGUGGGUUUCGACCCCUUUGGGGGUCAAAAGAUCCUUUCACAGGGGCCACAUUAGAUUUCCUGCAUACCAGAUAUUUACAUUAUGGUUCAUAACAGUAGCAAAAUUAGUCAUGAAGUAGCAAUGAAAAUAACUUUAUGCCCGGGCGGUGGUGGUGAAUACCAUUAAUCCCAGCAGUCGGAUCUCUGUGAGUUCAAGGCCAGCCUGGUCUACAGAGUGAGUUCCAGAAUGGCCAGGGCCACACAGAGAAACCCUGUCUCAACAAACAAACAAAAAUGAGUGAAUGAAUAAAUAAAUAAAGAUAAUGGUAUUGAUAAUAAUUUUACGGCUGGGCUCACCACCACAUGAGGAGCUGUAUUAACGGGUCGCUGCAUUAGGAAGGUUGAGAACCUCUGUCUUAGAAGAGCCGCAGGUUUGUGGAGCUCUCAGAUGCCCUAUUGUAUCUCUUCUGUGGACUUUGUCUUGAUAAAGUGUGCUGCAGAAUACAUGGAGUGGACCUUCCCUAGCAAAUACAUGAGAGGUCUCUAUGUGCCCCCCUCCAGUCAGCACCCCGCUACUGUGCUGCUGUUGGGCUUUCAGAGCUGUGGCUAGUGUGUGUCAUCAUUUAGCUAAUGCUGACUGCUCUUUCCUCUGCUUGAAGAACCCCUGGACUGAGGUUUAUGGCCUAAAGUAAAGCUGUAGAUCAGCCUCAACUGAGCAUGCUUGCAGUUAGGCAAGCAGGACCCCAGGUCAUUUGUGGUCUUCUCAGUCUCCCCUGGACACCUGGGUUUUAUUCGUUGUUACGUGAACCCGCUGACCCUUGGAAGUGCUAUUCGUGGAAAGCCUUGUUUACCACUUCACCUUGAUUCUCUGGGUCUUGCUUCUAUCUCAGGCCACCUGGCGCGUGCUGUUGCUGAUAGGCAAGAUUCCAAGGCCUUUUGGCCACAGUUGGAAAUAGUCAGGGGACUUCUCAGUCUCAGGUAGACAAGCUUGAGGAAGCAGAGCUUCUCGUCCCAAGAUUGACUCUGGUCCGCACUCAGGGCUGCCUGGAGCGGUAUGAGGUGCUUGUUGUGGGACUGGACCCUGCGUUAGAUAGAAUCCGUUUCUUCUGCUUUCGGACAGGAAGCAAGUGUGCAGUGCCCUAAGGGGGGUAUGUGUGCUGUGUGAGAACCACGUGUGUCAUCCCUGCUCUCUUCUUUCCCUUGAAAUGCCUGCACAUGCAGACCACAUCGCCUUGAUCAUAGAACUACUGGGGAAGGUGCCUCGCAAGCUCAUUGUGGCAGGAAAAUAUUCCAAGGAAUUUUUCACCAAAAAAGGUGACCUGAAACACAUCACCAAGCUGAAGCCUUGGGGCCUUCUGGAGGUUUUGGUGGAGAAGUAUGAGUGGCCUCAGGAGGAGGCUGCCGGAUUCACAGAUUUCCUGCUGCCUAUGUUGGAGCUCGUCCCUGAGAAGAGAGCCACAGCUGCUGAGUGUCUCCGGCACCCUUGGCUGAAUUCCUAAGCCCCUCAUGCACUGCAGCAGAGCUCAUCAGGCUUACCCUCCGGCCCUCCCCUCUGAGACUUUCCUCCCUUUUCCCUUUUCAGGGUGAAGCUCUUUCUUCAAGGGUUUCUAAAUUUUUUUUUUUUUUAAAUCCAACAUGUUCAUUUGGGUUUGCUUCCUUGACCCUGUGGAAAUCCCCACAGCCACUGGGCAUCCUAGGUGAAUUUGGCCUUAGUUGGGCUCUGCCAAAGACUCCAAGUAUGAACAGCCUCACCCUCUGCCCUGCCCUUUCUACAAAGAGCUGUGAAGAUCUGUGAGCCCAUCAUUUUUAGCCACUGGCUCUAAGAGUCAGGUUUUCUAAUGCACACCCCGCUGCCAGCACUAGGGUGAGGAGGGAGGGUGUGGAUUCUGUGGAUAGCAGAGACAUUAAACAUGCUCUAUCCAGGCUGCGGCAUCUUCCUGGAUUCUUUCUGUGUUUUCUAUGGUCACAUUUUUUUUCCUGCGACUUUUAAGCUACAUUUUUCGAUGAGCAACAAAUUUGGGUACCAGUUUAUCACUGUUAAAGGAUUGUCAGAUUUCUCUCAUCCUCUCAUAACUAAGUUCUUGGAAUUUUGAUUCUGAUUUUUAAUGUAAACAAAGCAACCAGUGAAUAUUUCCAGAGAGCCUCAGGUGUUGUGCAUAUAGUCCUUUCUGUGUGUCUUCUGUUGCCCUAAGCAGUUGCUUUGGUCCACACUUCCCGCUUUGAACGCCCUGCUGGCACCUGGCUUGCUCAGCCUGAGUUUACUGUUUUGUAACUAGAACAUGGGGUGAUCCAGACGGGAUAUGUGGGUUUCAGAGCUGUACAGUCUGGGGAGUGUUCCCACAUUCCAAGUCCUUCCCAGACAGCUCUUGGCUUCCAUUCACAGCUUUUCCUGCCUUGCCCGAACCCUGCCCUUGAUGCAGUUUCUCCAUGUGGCUUUGCUGUUCUCAUUUCUCAGAGGCUCGGGGUCUUUAAUGAAACCCUGGGUGAGGAACCGAGGGGAGGGGGAGGCAGUUUUCUUUUCCCUGUUGGUUUUGAUGUUAGCCAUCUUAUGCUGCUAUUUCCUUGUGUAAUGUCAGUUUUGAGAUGAUUGAAAUGUACUUGAGGCUUUUUCUUCUUAAUGCAAAAAGGCUUUGUGAAUUUCGUUUUAGGCUCAGCCUCAUAAACUUGAUCACCCAAACAUUACUUUUUCCCAGGGUGAAGUGAGCCUCAGAAGAGGGGCAGGACUGGGGUCAUGGAAAGGCUGCUUGCUAAUUUAUCGAGGACCAAGUGGGUCUUGAUACAGCACUCUCCUGAAACAGCUCAGUUUCUGACUUGAAGAAAACCACGGAAGUGCAAGCCAAGGCUCUCGUAGCAAGCUGAGUGAAAACGGCCACUGCCUCCUUCCUGUGUGUGAGACUGGAGAGUCACCUCGUGAUUGGCUCACGAGUGAGCAGGCUCAUGUAACUCAUCAGCUUCACCUGAGGAACUGGCCAGCCAGGCAUUGGCUCUGGAUUGGUAACUCCUGGAACCAGACGUGUUCCUGUAGAAAGAGUUGUAAGUCAGGCUAUCUAUGCACCUAUCCAGAACAGAGAGCAGAUGACAUCACGAACGGCAGGGAAACCCUCCACAGUUCUAACCCACUCUGGGUUGUCAACUGUACUGACACCUAAAGCAAUAGCAGACCUACCUGAAACUGCUUCUCAGCAAAUCACAGUUGCGGGAUCCCAGGAAUCCUAGCGACAUUAAGGUGGCAUGACCAGGAAACAAGCCAACAGCAGGCCUAUUUUAAUCAUUGAUACCAUGGGGAAUUUUAAUGGGGGGAGAACCUGGAACUUCACUUUGGAAAUAAGUCCCACCAAAUAAGGGCUUUCCUCCAUCACUAAGGAGCCAGAGGACCUGGGAGAGCGGAGGAGGCAGCAGCAGGAGCUGUCUGUCCGUCCAUGGCCUCCCUGAGCUUGGCUGUACAGGCCAGGUCUCACUGGAGGGCUGCUGUUGGCUCUUGGUUAAGAAUAAGCCCUGAUAUGUUUUAUAUUCUUUCUACUGAGUGCAUUGUUUGUGUCCUUACAAAUGCAGAACAAUAAACAGAGUAUUUAAUAACC